ACUGCCUCUGUAUUGGCAUAGCAGGUCCCUUGGUUCUCCACUCCUGGACUGGCUUGGGCUUCCACACUUGUGUAGGCUGUUUAGGUAACUGUUUUUGUUGGCUUGCACAAUUGUGUCCUAUUGUUUGGCAUUUCUCACAGAAUGAAGGCUUCCAUUCAUACUCCACAUCUUGAAGAAAACUCUUCCCAUUUGGAUCCAUAACCAUUACUUCUGUAGGUAGUGCUUUGGUCACAGUCACCUCAAUGAGCAUUCUGGCAUAGAAUAUCC
rnacentral:lncRNA from 1 species